rnacentral:rRNA from 1 species
UACAGAGGUCUCAAGCGUUGUUCGGAUUCAUUGGGCGUAAAGGGUGCGUAGGUGGCGCUGUAAGUCAGGUGUGAAAUUUCGGAGCUUAACUCCGAAACUGCAUUUGAUACUGCGGUGCUUGAGGACUGGAGAGGAGACUGGAAUUCACGGUGUAGCAGUGAAAUGCGUAGAUAUCGUGAGGAACACCGGUGGCGAAGGCGGCCAACUGGACAGAUACUGACGCUGAGACACGAAAGCGUGGGGAGCAAACAGG